rnacentral:rRNA from 1 species
UAACGCGAAGAACCUUACCUACCCUUGACAUCCUGCGAACCCUUCGGAGACGAAGGGUGCCUUNGGGAACGCAGAGACAGGUGCUGCAUGGCUGUCGUCAGCUCGUGUUGUGAAAUGUUGGGUUAAGUCCCGUAACGAGCGCAACCCUUGUCCCUAUUUGCCAGCGAUUCGGUCGGGAACUCUAGGGAGACUGCCCGUGACAAACCGGAGGAAGGUGGGGACGACGUCAAGUCAUCAUGGCCCUUACGGGUAGGGCUACACACGUGNCUACAAUGGUCAGUACAAAGGGUUGCGAACUUGCGAGAGUGAGCCAAUCCCAGAAAGCUGAUCUCAGUCCGGAUCGGAGUCUGCAACUCGACUCCGUGAAGUCGGAAUCGCUAGUAAUCGGAAUCAG